rnacentral:rRNA from 1 species
CCUACGGGUGGCUGCAGUGGGGAAUUUUGGACAAUGGGGGCAACCCUGAUCCAGCAAUGCCGCGUGUGUGAAGAAGGCCUUCGGGUUGUAAAGCACUUUUGUGAACCGAGCGGUACCUGAAGAAUAAGCACCGGCUAACUACGUGCCAGCAGCCGCGGUAAUACGUAGGGUGCAAGCGUUAAUCGGAAUUACUGGGCGUAAAGCGUGCGCAGGCGGUUUUGUAAGACAGAUGUGAAAUGCCCGGGCUUAACCUGGGAACUGCAUUUGUGACUGCAAGGCUAGAAUUUGGCAGAGGGGGGUAGAAUUCCACGUGUAGCAGUGAAAUGCGUAGAUAUGUGGAGGAAUACCGAUGGCGAAGGCAGCCCCCUGGGCAAAUUGACGCUCAUGCACGAAAGCGUGGGGAGCAAACAGGAUUAGAUACCCUAGUAGUC